rnacentral:rRNA from 1 species
CGAGCACGCGCGUGUGGCAUAUCAAUAAGCGGAGGAAAAGAAACUAACAAGGAUUCCCUUAGUAACGGCGAGUGAAGCGGGAAGAGCUCAAAUUUGAAAUCUUCAAGGUUCUACCUUGACGAAUUGUAGUUUAUAGAAGUGUUUUCUGUUAGUAGAGUGGCAAAAGUUCUUUGGAAUAGGACAUCAUAGAGGGUGAGAAUCCCGUAUUUGGUCAUUCUUUCUAGCUUUGUGAUACACUUUCAACGAGUCGGAUUGUUUGGGAAUGCAGUCCAAAAUGGGUGGUAAAUUUCAUCUAAAGCUAAAUAUUGGCGAGAGACCGAUAGCGAACAAGUACCGUGAGGGAAAGAUGAAAAGGAACUUUGAAAAGAGAGUUAAACAGUACGUGAAAUUGUCAAAAGGGAAGCGUUUGACACCAGUGUUGUUUUUCCGAAAAUCAAUUACGAAUGUUUUGUUUUUGAGGAGUUAUGACUUCAUCGGCUUGCUCCUUUCUUUACGAAACUUUCUUAAUGCACUUUUCGGUUAACAAGUCAACAUCAAUUUCUUUUGUUGUAAAAGGGUAUGAGGAAGGUGGCUUUCUUUUCGGAGAAAGUGUUUAUAGCCUUGUAGCCUCUGCAAUCGGAGAGAUUGAGGUCUGCAGCGUAGAUCCUUCGGGGUUAGAUACAUUUGUGCUAAGUUAUAGCUUUUCAUAGACAACUUGUUGACUAUGUUUAGUCUUGUAGCUUACUCGCUUACGCUAUUUUACCUACGCUUAGGAUGUUGAUGUGAUACUGCGAGCA